UUUUUUAAUUGAAAGCUUGUAUGAAUGGUUGAAUGAAAUAUUAACUGUUUCAUGAAAAAUAUAUUAGAAUUUUAUUUUUUAGUUAAAAAGCUAAAAUAAAAUUAGAGGACGAGAAGACCCUAUAAAGUUUUAUAAUAUGGGAGUAAUAAUUUUUUUAGAAAUUUUUAGAUUUUAAUUUUUAUAUUAUUUUGUUGGGGUGAUAAUAAAAUUUAUUUAACUUUUAUUAUUUAUAAACAUUGAUUUAUGAAUAAAUGAUCCAAUAAUAUUGAUUAAAAAAUUAAAUUACUUUAGGGAUAACAGCGUAAUUUUUUUUUAAAGUUCAUAUUAAUAAAAAAGAUUGC
rnacentral:rRNA from 1 species